rnacentral:lncRNA from 1 species
GCGAUGUGUGUUGUGAGCUAAUUUAAGAAACUGCAUCUUGUCAUAGUGUUUUUCUACAGACAACAGAUCACAUACAUAUGGAUUUUGUGCAGUGAUAGUGCUAAGUUGUAUAAUUUCUAGGUUCUGCCACCUUUGAAUGUGACUGGAGCGCUUAAUAUAGGCCAUGCACUUAUGGUUGUUAUAGAGGUAUUCACCGUCAAUGCCUUCACAGACAAGGUGAUCCAUUUUUUUGUCAUUGGAUUGUUGCUCG